CUGCGCAGCUUACACAUGCAGUCGAGCGGUAACAGGGGGUGCUUGCACCCCGCUGACGAGCGGCGGACGGGUGAGUAAUGCAUAGGAAUCUGCCCAGUAGUGGGGGAUAGCCCGGGGAAACCCGGAUUAAUACCGCAUACGCCCUUUGGGGGAAAGCAGGGGAUCUUCGGACCUUGCGCUAUUGGAUGAGCCUAUGUCGGAUUAGCUAGUUGGUGGGGUAAAGGCCUACCAAGGCGACGAUCCGUAGCUGGUCUGAGAGGAUGAUCAGCCACAUCGGGACUGAGACACGGCCCGAACUCCUACGGGAGGCAGCAGUGGGGAAUAUUGGACAAUGGGGGCAACCCUGAUCCAGCCAUGCCGCGUGUGUGAAGAAGGCUUUCGGGUUGUAAAGCACUUUCAGUGAGGAGGAAAACCUUCUGGUUAAUACCCAUGAGGCUUGACGUUACUCACAGAAGAAGCACCGGCUAACUCCGUGCCAGCAGCCGCGGUAAUACGGAGGGUGCAAGCGUUAAUCGGAAUUACUGGGCGUAAAGCGCGCGUAGGUGGUUUGAUAAGCGAGAUGUGAAAGCCCCGGGCUUAACCUGGGAACGGCAUUUCGAACUGUCAGGCU
rnacentral:rRNA from 1 species